AAAACGGAGAGUUUGAUCCUGGCUCAGGAUGAACGCUGGCGGUAUGCUUAACACAUGCAAGUCGAACGGGGGUAGAAAUACCCUAGUGGCGGACGGGUGAGUAACGCGUGAGAAUCUAGCUUCAGGUCGGGGAUAACAGAGGGAAACCGCUGCUAAUACCGGAUGAACCUACGGGUGAAAGAUUAAUUGCCAGAAGAUGAGCUCGCGUCCGAUUAGCUAGUUGGCAGGGUAAUGGCCUACCAAGGCGGCGAUCGGUAGCUGGUCUGAGAGGACGAUCAGCCACACUGGGACUGAGACACGGCCCAGACUCCUACGGGAGGCAGCAGUGGGGAAUUUUCCGCAAUGGGCGAAAGCCUGACGGAGCAAUACCGCGUGAGGGAGGAAGGCUCUUGGGUUGUAAACCUCUUUUCUCAAGGAAGAAGCAAUGACGGUACUUGAGGAAUCAGCAUCGGCUAACUCCGUGCCAGCAGCCGCGGUAAUACGGAGGAUGCAAGCGUUAUCCGGAAUGAUUGGGCGUAAAGCGUCCGCAGGUGGCAAUGCAAGUCUGCUGUCAAAGGCUGGGGCUUAACUCCAGACAGGCAGUGGAAACUGCAUCAGCUAGAGUGCGGUAGGGGCAGAGGGAAUUCCCGGUGUAGCGGUGAAAUGCGUAGAGAUCGGGAAGAACACCAGUGGCGAAAGCGCUCUGCUGGACCUGCACUGACACUCAGGGACGAAAGCUAGGGGAGCGAAUGGGAUUAGAUACCCCAGUAGUCCUAGCCGUAAACGAUGGAUACUAGGUGUUGUGAGUAUCGACCCUCACAGUGCCGCAGCUAACGCGCUAAGUAUCCCGCCUGGGGAGUACGCACGCAAGUGUGAAACUCAAAGGAAUUGACGGGGGCCCGCACAAGCGGUGGAGUAUGUGGUUUAAUUCGAUGCAACGCGAAGAACCUUACCAGGGCUUGACAUGUCCGGAACCUUUGGGAAACCAGAGGGUGCCUUCGGGAGCCGGAACACAGGUGGUGCAUGGCUGUCGUCAGCUCGUGUCGUGAGAUGUUGGGUUAAGUCCCGCAACGAGCGCAACCCUCGUUUUUAGUUGCCAGCAUUCAGUUGGGCACUCUGAAGAGACUGCCGGUGACAAACCGGAGGAAGGUGGGGAUGACGUCAAGUCAGCAUGCCCCUUACGUCCUGGGCUACACACGUACUACAAUGCUUCAGACAAAGGGCAGCUAGCCAGCGAUGGUCUGCUAAUCCCAUAAACUGAGGCUCAGUUCAGAUCGCAGGCUGCAACUCGCCUGCGUGAAGGCGGAAUCGCUAGUAAUCGCAGGUCAGCAUACUGCGGUGAAUACGUUCCCGGGCCUUGUACACACCGCCCGUCACACCAUGGGAGCUGGCCAUGCCCGAAGUCGUUACUCCAACCUGCAAAGGAGGAGGACGCCGAAGGUGGGGCUGGUGACUGGGGUGAAGUCGUAACAAGGUAGCCGUACCGGAAGGUGUGGCUGGAUCACCUCCUUUU
rnacentral:rRNA from 1 species